rnacentral:tRNA from 1 species
GCUUCUAAAGGAUAACAGUUAUCCAUUGGUCUUAGGAACCAAAAACUCUUGGUGCAAAUCCAAGUAGCAGCU